ACGGAAGGCAGCAGUGAGGAAUAUUGGUCAAUGGGCGGAAGCCUGGACCAGCCAAGUCGCGUGAAGGAUGAAGGUAUUAUGUAUUGUAAACUUCUUUAGUCGUAGAGAAAUAAGGUGCUCGUGAGCACUGAUGCUAGUAUACGAAGAAUAAGGAUCGGCUAACUCCGUGCCAGCAGCCGCGGUAAUACGGAGGAUCCGAGCGUUAUCCGGAUUUAUUGGGUUUAAAGGGUGCGCAGGCGGCUUUUUAAGUCAGUGGUCAAAUCGUGGGGCUCAACCCCAUCCCGCCAUUGAUACUGGAGAGCUUGAUUGCGGUCGAGGUUGGCGGAAUUCGUCGUGUAGCGGUGAAAUGCAUAGAUAUGACGAAGAACACCGAUUGCGUAGGCAGCUGACCAGGCCGUAAAUGACGCUCAUGCACGAAAGUGCGGGGAUCGAACAGGAUUAGAUACCCUGGUA
rnacentral:rRNA from 1 species